GCAGUCGAGCGAACAGAAGGGAGCUUGCUCCCGGAUGUUAGCGGCGGACGGGUGAGUAACACGUGGGUAACCUGCCUGUAAGACUGGGAUAACUCCGGGAAACCGGAGCUAAUACCGGAUAGUUCCUUGAACCGCAUGGUUCAAGGAUGAAAGACGGUUUCGGCUGUCACUUACAGAUGGACCCGCGGCGCAUUAGCUAGUUGGUGGGGUAAUGGCUCACCAAGGCGACGAUGCGUAGCCGACCUGAGAGGGUGAUCGGCCACACUGGGACUGAGACACGGCCCAGACUCAUACGGGAGGCAGCAGUAGGGAAUCUUCCGCAAUGGACGAAAGUCUGACGGAGCAACGCCGCGUGAGUGAUGAAGGUUUUCGGAUCGUAAAGCUCUGUUGUUAGGGAAGAACAAGUGCGAGAGUAACUGCUCGCACCUUGACGGUACCUAACCAGAAAGCCACGGCUAACUACGUGCCAGCAGCCGCGGUAAUACGUAGGUGGCAAGCGUUGUCCGGAAUUAUUGGGCGUAAAGGGCUCGCAGGCGGUUUCUUAAGUCUGAUGUGAAAGCCCCCGGCUCAACCGGGGAGGGUCAUUGGAAACUGGGAAACUUGAGUGCAGAAGAGGAGAGUGGAAUUCCACGUGUAGCGGUGAAAUGCGUAGAGAUGUGGAGGAACACCAGUGGCGAAGGCGACUCUCUGGUCUGUAACUGACGCUGAGGAGCGAAAGCGUGGGGAGCGAACAGGAUUAGAUACCCUGGGUAGUCCACGCCGUAAACGAUGAGUGCUAAGUGUUAGGGGGUUUCCC
rnacentral:rRNA from 1 species